UGGGUGCAAAGAACCUCAUGAAUGCAGGACUC
rnacentral:piRNA from 1 species